rnacentral:snoRNA from 1 species
UGCCCCUAGAGGCGUUGCAGGUGUGGCUGCUGUGUCACAUGUGUGUCAGUAGGUGGCAGAGAGGAAAGAGGCUAUGUCUACGCUCAGUGUUCUGACCUGUGAACAUCUGAAUGAUUAGUAGCCUAACAUUC